rnacentral:rRNA from 1 species
UACGGCUACCUUGUUACGACUUAGCCCCAGUUACCAGUUUUACCCUAGGCGACUCCUUACGGUUAUCGACUUCAGGUACCCCCGGCUUCCAUGGCUUGACGGGCGGUGUGUACAAGGCCCGGGAACGUAUUCACCGCACCAUGGCUGAUGUGCGAUUACUAGCGAAUCCGACUUCACGUGGUCGAGUUGCAGACCACGAUCCGAACUGAGACCGGUUUUGAGGAUUAGCAUCAUGUUGCCAUGUAGCUGCCCAUUGUACCGGCCAUUGUAGCACGUGUGUAGCCCUGGACGUAAGGGCCGUGAUGAUUUGACGUCAUCCCCACCUUCCUCUCUACUUGCGUAGGCAGUUUUGCUAGAGUUCCCGGCAUUACCCGCUGGCAACUAACAAUAGGGGUUGCGCUCGUUAUGGGACUUAACCCGACACCUCACGGCACGAGCUGACGACAACCAUGCAGCACCUUGCAGUCCGUCCGAAGAAAGUCUGGUUUCCCAGACGGUCGUUCUGCAUUUAAGCCCAGGUAAGGUUCCUCGCGUAUCAUCGAAUUAAACCACAUGCUCCUCCGCUUGUGCGGGCCCCCGUCAAUUCCUUUGAGUUUCAAUCUUGCGAUCGUACUUCCCAGGUGGAUCACUUAACGCUUUCGCUUGGACGCUGACGGUGUACUGCCAACAUCGAGUGAUCAUCGUUUAGGGCGUGGACUA